CAUGACCAGUUAAACCAUAUGGAUCUGAAAUCCAAAUGCCGACAUUCGCGCAAUGAAAAGCUCCAAAUCCAAAGCAAGUAAUACCUGAUAAGAGAAGAUGAAUCCCAAAUAUCCUUGGGAGAUCAAGAGCAGGUUCUCCAGUUCUUUCAUCUUCCCAUAGAUCUAAAUCCCAAUAUGUCCAAUGCCAGAUUGAAGCAAGCAUUAAAAGUCCACUAAAAACAAUGUGAGCGGCUGCAACACCUUCGAAGCUCCAGAAUCCUGGAUCAACCCCUGUAGCACCAGUUAUAUCCCAUCCGUUCCAACUACUUGUGAUCCCUAAUCUCGCCAUGAAUGGCAUGACAUACAUUCCCUGUCUCCACAUUGGAUUGAGAACAGCGUCUGAAGGAUCAAAAAUGGCUAAUUCAUAUAAAGCCAUAGAACCGGCCCAGCCGGCUAAUAAUGCAGUAUGCAUGAGAUGCACAGCAAGUAGUCGACCGGGGUCGUUGAUAACUACUGUGUGAACUCUAUACCAAGGCAAUCCCAUCGGUUAAAUUCUUGUGACAAUGCUGAAUGAACAGCUAAACAUCAUGAUAGUAAGGGUUUUUUGGGCGUUGAGAGA
rnacentral:antisense_RNA from 1 species